GAUCUGGCUCAGAACGAACGCUGGCGGCAGGCUUAACACAUGCAAGUUGAGCGGGAUUGUUGAGUAGCUUGCUAUUUAACAUGAGAGCAGCGCACUGGUGAGUAACACGUGGGAACAUACCUUUUGGUGGGGGACAACAGUUGGAAACGACUGCUAAUACCGCAUAAGCCCUAAGGGGGAAAGAUUUAUUGCCGAAAGAUUGGCCCGCGGAAGAUUAGGUAGUAGGUGGGGUAACGGCCUACCUAGCCGACGAUCUAUAGCUGGUCUGAGAGGACGAUCAGCCACAUUGGAACUGAGACACGGUCCAGACUCCUACGGGAGGCAGCAGUGAGGAAUAUUGGGCAAUGGAGGGAACUCUGACCCAAGCCAUGCCGCGUGAGUGAAGAAGGUUUUCGGAUUGUAAAACUCUUUCAGAUGGGAAGAUGAUGACGGUACCAUCAGAAGAAGCACCGGCUAACUUCGUGCCAGCCGCGGC
rnacentral:rRNA from 1 species